AUACGGAGGGGGUUAGCGUUGUUCGGAAUUACUGGGCAUAAAGCGCACGUAGGCGGGUAAUCAAGUCGGGUGUGAAAUCCCUCGGCCCAACCGAGGAACUGCGCCCGAAACUGUUUGCCUUGAGAACGAAAGGGGAACACGGAAUUCCUAGUGGAGCGGUGAAAUGCGUUGAUAUUAGGAGGAACACCAGUGGCGAAGGCGGUGUUCUGGUUCGUUUCUGACGCUGAGGUGCGAAAGCUAGGGGAGCAAACGGGAUUAGAAACCCCGGUAGUCC
rnacentral:rRNA from 1 species